CUUUAGAUCGGGACAACCAUUGGAAACGAUGGCUAAUACCGGAUAAGCCGAGAGGUGAAAGAUUAAUUGUCUAGAGAAGAGCUCGCGUCUGAUUAGCUAGUUGGUGGGGUAAAGGCCUACCAAGGCGACGAUCAGUAGCUGGUCUGAGAGGAUGAUCAGCCACACUGGGACUGAGACACGGCCCAG
rnacentral:rRNA from 1 species